AUGCCGCCGCCGCCACCGUCUAUGCUAAUGGAAGAGCUCCUCGAGGAGGUCUUCUUCCGCCUUCUGCCGGACGAGCCCGCCUGGCUCGUCCGUGCCUCUGCCGUCUGCAAGCCAUGGCGCUCCAUCCUUGCCGACCCGGUCUUUCGCCGCCGCUAUCGUGAGUUCCAUGGGACACCUCCCGUCCUGGGACUCUUCGAGAAGCUCAGCCCCCGCCUCGUCCCGAUCCCCGCCUUCUUCCCUGCCCAGACCUACCAUCCUGACUGGGCUGCCAUGGACUGCCGCCAUGGUCGUGCCCUCUUCUGCCAGUUUGGGGAGACACGUGACCUCAUCGUGUUGGAUCCUUUGACAGGCCGCCAGUGCCAGGUACCCUCUCCUCCUCACUACCCAGUCUACUUCAGUGCGGCGGUGCUCUGCGCAGCACAAGGCUGCGACCACCACAAUUGCCAAGCCGGGCAUUUUCGUGUGGUCAUGUGUCCUAGUAAGCUUGAGGGAGUCACACUGGGAUGGAUGUACUCAUCGGAGACUCGCCUCUGGACGGAGCUCACCUCUGAUAUUCACCCCACUGCCGAUUAUUACUCUGUCUCGGCUAUGCCUAGCAUCCUUGUGGGCGACGCAGUCUACUUCAAUGUCGAUGCCGUCAUAGAGUGCCAACUUGGUACACUAUGCUUUUCAAUGUUCGAGAAGCCAACUGAUGACAAUGGGACUCUCAUGAUGGUGGAAGAUGACGUGUUGGGUUUUGCUGCCGUGGUGGAUGUCACACUAACCCUGUGGUCUAGGGAGGCCGGACCCGAGGGAGCCAUGGGAUGGAUAAAACUCAGGGUAAUCGAUCUUAAGACACUACUCCCUAAUGUUGCCCUCUUUAUACCAAGUGCAUUGGUUAUCAAUGGCUACGCAGAGGGCACCCAAGUCAUUUUUGUGCGCACAAGUGUUGGUUGCUACAUGGUCGACCUCAAGUUAGGGCGAUCGAGGAAGGUGUCUUAUCAUGGCAGAAAAUCAUUUCCCUACACGAGCUUCUACAUCCCAGAUUCAUGCACUUCUGCAGCAAUGGAAGCAGCUUCUCCGGGCCAAGGGCAGUGA
rnacentral:rRNA from 1 species